UGCAAAAAUUUUAUUUACAAAAAUUCUCUAUUUUUUAUUUUGGAAUGAAUAUUAUAAAUAAAAAAGUAAAAUAUAACUGGGUAUAUUAGCAGUACAGUGAAAUAUAACUGGGCAUAUUUCUUCUCAGGUUCGUCGUUUAUUGCUGCCGAUUAAUGAAUCGUUAUUAUCUAUACAUCAGCGGAUCAUAGCCACGGUAGCUGGCUGGAAAAAGCAGUAGCAACACUCAAAGAGGAGGAUGUAGUUUGGAAGAUCUACUUCGAUGAAAUAUUAACUAAUAAACACGCAACCUACAUCCGUUCGGAGGACAGCAGCAGCACUACGAGCAACGAGAAACACCAAACUGUCCUCAUCUUCGGAGUAGAAAGCCUGUUGGCCGCGUUCAAUCUCAUACUCAGCUAUCACCCAAUGACAUCCAAUCGAGAAAAUAUAGCAGACAUUCUGGAAAGAAAUAUACAACUAGUGAAAGAGCUAGGAUUGGACGUCAAGGCGGUCGUCUGCGGCGAAAACUCCGUACACAUAAACUUCUGCUCCGAUUGUUCCCGAACAGAGUAUACGAAAACGAUG